rnacentral:rRNA from 1 species
CCUACGGGCGACAGCAGUGAGGAAUAUUGGUCAAUGGACGAGAGUCUGAACCAGCCAAGUAGCGUGAAGGAUGACUGCCCUAUGGGUUGUAAACUUCUUUUAUAUGGGAAUAAAAUGUUCCACGUGUGGGAUUUUGUAUGUACCAUAUGAAUAAGGAUCGGCUAACUCCGUGCCAGCAGCCGCGGUAAUACGGAGGAUCCGAGCGUUAUCCGGAUUUAUUGGGUUUAAAGGGAGCGUAGGUGGAUUGUUAAGUCAGUUGUGAAAGUUUGCGGCUCAACCGUAAAAUUGCAGUUGAAACUGGCAGUCUUGAGUACAGUAGAGGUGGGCGGAAUUCGUGGUGUAGCGGUGAAAUGCUUAGAUAUCACGAAGAACUCCGAUUGUGAAGGCAGUUCACUGGACUGCAACUGACACUGAGGCUCGAAAGUGUGGGUAUCAAACAGGAUUAGAUACCCGUGUAGUC